rnacentral:sRNA from 1 species
GUGACUGAGGCAUAUGUGUGUACAUGGGGUAGGAUUAAGGAUAUCUUUUUAAACUUCGGUCUACCAUCAACCUUUCCAGCUUUCAUUAUUUCAACCAUAUUUACCACCAACAAACUACUUCUGUAUCUUAGCUUUUCUGCUAGCGCAUUUUAACUGCGUUUUGUGCAUUGCCUCCUCUUUAGUUAGAGUGAAAUCGGGGGUUGAGUUUGGGCUUUUGCUCUGCUAUCUAAUCUGAAACAGUUACAACUUCCAUUUAUUUUUUUGUCCUAUUCUGAUAUGAUAAAUAUCUUCCCCGUGUGGGAGAGCAAUAUUUACACACUACUUCCUAAUGGAGUUUGGCAAUCUCUUAUUUCCUUCCUCCGAAGCUCUUCCAAACUCCACAUGUAAGCCAUGCCAAGAAAGAGAGCUGGAGGACCCCAGAGGUUACCAGUGAGGAGGUGCUAUUGGGAGAUGUCCCUCCAAAGGGAGAAGACGGGUAGCUGCCAUAAAGGGCAAGCAUUGGAAAAUCACGAGUCCAGGCACGUGGAUCAGAGCUCAGAAUUUCUUGCAGUCUAGCUUCUUCUGCCCAGCACUGGCACAGACAGAUACCUGUGUGAUCCUCGGAAAUUCUCCCAACUUCUAAGCCGUACACACCAGUUGACUCUCUGAGACUCUGGAUCCUGAAGGACUGAGGUCUGGGUGACUUUCACCUUUCACCGUGCCCGUAACUAUCUCUUCCAGUGGAGUACUCCGGGCUCUUUUCUUUGCCCUUUGUUUAGUUUACUCACAGACAAAUGAUUCAGACUCCCUAGGAUGAAUCACCAUAUAAGCACAUGAUAGCUUCUGCUUCUCCAGUUUGGGGGAGCAGCUGGGAAAGAUGCCCAUGCUUUUAUUUGAACAGUAUCCAGAAGUAAGGCAGAAAUCUGAACGUCUAGGGAAGUGGGUCCUUUUUGUGUCUUUAGAUUUAGCUCCUGACAGAAUCCACUUUAGGGAUGCCCCAGAGUUUAGGAUGGCCUUCAGAUGUGGUCAGGAUGUUCUCUUCCAGAUCUUUUGGGAGAAGCAGGCUGAACAUUCCUGUGACACAUACCACCAUUUCUGGCAUCCUCGGAUGUGUUUGGGCAGAAUCACAGGAUCAUAUCUUAGGGUGAUUCCUUCACACUCAGGCAUCAAGUCCAGUUUAGGAAGAGGCAAAGAUUUAAUUCCCAUGGGCUGUUUAUGGAUGAAUUCUCACCUGUGGGUAAAAGUGCAUACUCUAGAUGGUGUGUGUGUGUGUGUGUGUGUGUGUGUGUGUGUGUGUGUGUGUGUGUGUGCAGUUUGAAGCACAAGCAUCUUCCCCUGUUUCUACCUACCUUAUUUAUUUGAGACAGGAUUUCUCAUUGAACCUGGAACUCACUCAUUCAGCCUGGCUGACUGGCCAGCAAGCUCUGGAAUCCACCAAUCUCUACCCCGUGCUCUGUCAUGACACUAUGCCUGCUUUUUUAUUCUGGGGACUUAAGUCGAGUCUUUGUGCUUAUAUGCUUACAGACAUAAAGCCAGUGCAGUGUCACAGCUCUAUCCUUGACCAGACAGACACGGAAGUCUGAAUGAUCAGGCACCAUGUGCAUUCUCAUCCCCUCUGCUACAUGACUGGAAACAUUUGUAGCUACGUGGACUGCCCCAGCUUUGCUUGUUAUGGACAGGAAGAGUGGCUGCCAUCUUCAUUGUCCGUAGGCAAGAGGAAGGAUACAUUGACAAAGGGCAGCUUCAUGGAGAGUCAGUGUGAUUGUUUCAAGAAACAACAUAAGCUUCGCACCAUAGCUGCUCUCUAGAUAGUCCUCAUCUCAGAACUGUCUCUAAGACUACGCCUGCAUUCCCCUAUCCAACAUCACACCAACAUUGAAUGAAUUCAUUUCCAGGUGAGUGACAGCUCACAAUGCUGGUGAAUUAUCUUCACUCCUGUGGAAAGGGGGCUGAGAGGUCUCAGGGUAGGCAACAAGUUAUUUGCAUCAGGUUAUUGGCAUAAACAGAUUUUUAAAGGUCUCCUGAGAUACCUGGUGGGUACUUCUUCCAUGGAUAACUGUUUCUACAGAGUAUCAGAAGACAGCAAAGACAUCCCUCCAAGAAAAGGAGGAGUAACAUUGAAGGCAUUUUGAGUCCAAUCAAAAAGAAUGCUUCAGCUGAAGAGAAAAAUCAGCACAUUUUUAGUAAAUUUCACUUGGUUGUAAUUUUAAAAAUGUAAGAGAGGAUGGUGCCCAGUGGUACCCAAGGCAAUAAGAGAUCCUGAAUUAUUAGACACCUGGCUUGGGAUCUGAGCAGUGCUAUUUCAUGGAUAAUAAUGGUGUGUGUAUAUGUGUGUGGCUUUCAUGGACCAGAUACCUCUUAGUCAGUUUGUCAGCUUUUGGCAAACGCGUAAGUGAAUCCAGCUACCAUUGAUCGAGCCUGAUCUAGCUCAGCUCACCCAUGGAUUCAUGGACUUAAAUCAAACUCAACUCUUAUUUUCCUGGAGACUUACUAGAUGCUAGCUGGCUAGGAAGGGAUGAGGGUAACUGAGACACAUCUCAUUCUCCAAGUGCUUGGCAUAGACUUAAUUUCAAUACAGAAAUGUUAGCACAAGAACAAACAGUAAAUGGUUAUGGAGACAAAGCCUUGGUUGGGGCCAUUUGUAACUCAGAAUCUGUGUGAUCAGUCCAGGCAUGGCACAUAACAAGAGCUUACAUUCAUGAACAGAGCACCCGGUCCCUUUAUAAGAGUGGCCUCAAUACUGUGGAUCAAAGAUGGACGGCUAUGGCUGUCCAUGCAACCUGCCACAGUAUAUAAGCCACUGCUGGCAUCCCAGCAGAGACCUAUCACUUUCCUAGUGUAGAGUAGGCUAGUGAGAGUUGAGUCCUAGGAAGGUAGGCUCUAAGGGUGAGAAGCUGUCUGCAGACUGAAAAUUCAGCUCCAGAACCCUUACUGGGCCCUGAGCUUUGGGUAUGAGGCCUGAGCUCUGGCAGUCUCCAGGACACACCAGCCUUCCCCUGCAUCUCUGACUGAUCAAGGUCAGGUAAUUGCCUGUUUGCCCCAUUUCUACUGUUUAGAUACCAGGACACCUCAAUUUCUCACUCUGUAGUUGAAAAUGAAUAGUCUUGUCUUCCCAGGGAGACCUUAUUUAUCACAAUGGAAAACGGCUCAUCUACCCAAGGUCACCGCUCAAAUUGAAACCUGAAACACAUCUAUAAGUGAGUCGCUGUCUCAGAGCCAAGUCUUCUGACAAGGCCAGGGUGAGUCGUGUUCAUAGAAAGAGCUACUUAUACAGAAGAUACUGUUUUGAUCCGCACCCCUUGCUGGCAAGCUUAACAGGAAGAUUGUUGGAAAAAGCAUAGGGAAAGAAAGGUCUUACUGAAUGCUGGGGGGGAUUCUUUGCUUUUAAAACAGUGUAUGAGUUGCCGACGAGAGCCGCUGAAAGACUAUGGGGCUUUGGAGGAAAUAAAGAGUUAUUUUAGGAAGACAGAAACAAGGACCAAAUGUUGGACUGGGGAAAUUCAUUACAGACAUGUCAUUCAUUAUAAAUGAAGAGAAACACAGCAAUCUCCUAGCACCCAGACCCAACACAGCCAUGUCUGCAAACCCAGCCCACGGAUGCAGAAGGGAUGUGGUUUGAUUUGUUCUGUUUGGUUUUAAGGGGCAGGAUUUGCCCUCACUGUCUCCUAUCAUUCCACGAAGCGUUAGUUUCUGGACACUGAUUUGCUGGACUGUAUUUAAGGUAACAUCUCAGAGCACAAAUAGGGAAGCUAUCUUUCCGAAAGACUUUCUCCUCAGCUGUAAGGGGCCUCAGGAAACGGCACAGUCCUGGCAAGCCCUGCGUCCUUCCCAGAUCCUACUCAUCACCACCUCUGCAUCAUUACUGGGCUGGAGAAUAAGAGGAAUAUGCAAAUCUGCCUGUACAGCUUGCCUUUAGGCAGAAGCGAUCUCCAGAGCCCUCAAGCCAUCUGCCAUGGUCAAGAUUAAAUGAGAAGAAGCUCAGGGGCAGAGACCUUUCCAUUCCCAGAGCUUAGCAUUUGGCGUUAGUUCCCAGAUCUUGUUGAUUUCCAGAACACUCAGCACUAACUGUCCUUCAUAUCCACCACGUGGCGCACUCACAGCUUCUUCCUGCCCCUCCUAGGAAAGCUCAGUGAAGUUCGCAUUUCUCCUUUGGAAUUGUCUCCCUAGUGACCAGGAGAGCGGUAGCUCAGAACAGCCACUCAGUACUUCUUGACCUAAUCGUCAUCAGCAAGGCCUCAUACCCGUUUAAAGGUUGAAUGAAACAUAUCUACCAGACACACCAACAUAUUAACAUGAGUGCCUCUGACCUAUAAGAGGCGGUAGGGAGAGUUUGGCAAAGUGUGUUCAUGUAAACCAUGAAGGAAAAUGAUUUAUGACACUCCUCAGAUGCAUCAAACUAGAGGCAAUAGCUGAUAGUACUCAGCAGUCCAAAGGAUAAGUUUGCAAAGGGUAGGUCCUUGAAUGGCAACAGCAAGCAGGGAUGCCUACUAAUGUCACAGCAAACAUGUGACAACAGCAAGGACCAAACUCCUGCUCCCACUGAAAUGUGGGGCUUGUUUGUUAUGGAAGCAUGGUCUAGCCCACCCUUGCUGAUACAUACACCAUAAGACUUAGAAUGCUACCUUGAAGGGGACAAUACUAUACUAUUCUAUACUCCAUUUACUGACAUCCUAAAGUUACAAGACAAAGACAGCCCCGCUCCCCAAGCAAAGAAUACAUGCAAACUCUUCAAGACCCUUGAUCCAUAUCUGCCUUCAAUAAAGUAUAAAAUAAUUAAUGGCUAUUUGCAGCAGAUAUCAAAUUGUUUAUCAUCCAUCAUCAGGGUUUUCAAUCUUUAUUGUAAGGUGAAUCCUUCCUGCAGUGUCAUCCCCAGUAACCAUUCAUAGAAACAGGAAGGAACCUUGGAGGUCAACUGCAUUCUCCAGUUGAUACUUGUCACUCUGCCACUAAAAUUCUGAUUCUGCAUUUCCCUGGGUCGCCUCUGCUCAUCACUUGAACUCACUAAUCGUUCUGUCUCACCUGCACACAUCUUGCUCCCAAACAUAGACACUGUUUGGUUCCUCCAGUAGCCAAAUCUGCCCACACUCCUGCAGUGUGCAGUAAAAGACCCACUCCCGCCAGAGCUAAGAUACAUCUCAUGGGGAUUCUGGAGUUGCCUGUCUUCUUCCCCCUGUAAGUAGCAAACGUCUUUUUGCUUUGUGGCUCACAUGGUCCUCCUCAAGAUCAUUCGAUACCUGCUGCAGCGUAAGCAAUUUUAGACAUCACACGUCACAUGUACUCUGGUAAAAUAUGAUAUAUGGAAUACAGGGAGCCUCACUGGACAGCAUCCUGGUCUCUGGCUUGCUGAGCCUUGGAUUAUAGUAUUCUAGUCUGCUUAUUGUUGUUUUGAUAAAGACAAUGAGGGAAAGCAGCUUGGGUGUGGAAAGGGUUUAUUUCGUCUUACAACUCAUGGUCUAUCACAGGGAAAGUUAGGGCAGUAACUCAAGCAGGAACCUGGAGGCAGGAGGCAGCAUCCCUUCAUAGUCUUUGCAAGCUGAGCUUGCCUGCCAUAAUUGUUUAGCUUACUUUCUUAUACCAUCCAGGCGACCUGCCCAGAGGUGGAACUGCACAUGGAUCAAGUAAAUGUCUCACAGACUUGCCCAGAGCCCAGUCUGACAGGUAUACUUUCUCUGUUGAGAUCUCCUCUUCCCAGCUGACUUUGGCUUGUGUCAAGCUCUAUCUAACCAGCUUGGCUAGUAUGCACAGGGUCUGGAAUGUGAACCUGUCUAACAUUAAUUAUGACGGCGUAGACCUGUAAGGCUAGUGCUCAGGAGGUGGAAGCAGGGGGAUUCAAAACUCAAGGUCAUCCUCUGCACAUAACAAAUUUCACAAAAUUUUGUGAAAUGUUCUUUCACAAAAAGAACAUUUUUUUAAAAAAAAUCCCCUUUUUGUUUGUUUGUUUGUUUAUCUAACUACCUUCUCAACUUUCUCCUUUGUCCCGACUCUGCCUUUCCUAGGAGAAGGAGCCAUUUAUGUGCGUUUGAAGUCCAGGAGGAAAAGGGUCAGAAACACAGGCAAGCAUGCAAGCUGGUGUGCACCGCUCUCUGUGUCUGUUUAUUAUGGCCGUCAGGCCUCCCAGGGAAACCAACACACAGUUGGCUGGAGAAGCCACAGCUGAAUACACUCAGGCGAGGAUUCCUGGGAGCCAUCAUUUCCACUGUAGGUUGAAAGUCAGAUAUUUUGUGUGGCUCUCAGCUCCUAGUUGCUUCUUGCUUUUUGAAAAAGAGGAAGUCAACAAAAUGAGCAAGUUAUUUCCAAGUGGAGUGCCUUCCUCCAGCUCAGAGGUCUAUGGAAAUUACAAAGUCCAGGGAAAGGAGCCUUGUUCAGAAGUUCCAAAUGUUCUUGGAGUGGUUUUUACCAGUCCUGAAAGAGCCCCACGUGACUCACGGAGCAGGACUGGAAUAGCCCCACGUGACCCAUAGAGCUAUCACCAAGUUACCUUAUUUGAGACUUUUAAUCCAAGCAGUUUAUAAACACAGGAUGCUUUCCAAAAGUGUUCCUCCCUUUCUCUCCCAUUUAUGGAAACAAAAGCAAAUGUUUUACAAGGGCAGAGACACUGAACUCUUCUUCUUUUGCUGGAUGCCUGAGGAGCCCUGGGAAAGUAUGGAGUAGGUAGAGAGGGAGGAAGAAACUGGACCCUGGCCAAGCUGGCCCUGCUGCUUAAUGGUGCCCCAGAUGUCUGAAGCAGCCUCAACAGAUGGGCCAGCGCUCUUUGUUUGAAUUUGAAAUUAUAAGUAGAAACAUAAGGCAGAUGUUUGCCUCCCUCAAAGGGAAGAAUAUUAAGAAGGAAGGCAUUUAGAGAAUAAGGAAGCCAAAGCCAUUGUCCUAACUUGCAUUGAAGUUUCUCAUUCAAAUCCCCAUUAGGAAACUGCCCCUCUCUAGUCAGAAGUUAGGGCCAUCGCUACCUUCUUUUGAUGGUUAAUGUAAGCUACCAACGUGGUUCGAUUAGUCAUCUAAGAGGCAUUCCUCUGGGCAUGACUAUAAGAGCAUUACUAGAGAUUUUUAACUGAAUACAAACCUACCAUGAUUGGGGGGCUCGGGACUAUCCAGAGUCUGGGGCUCUAAAUGGAAGUAGGCAAGAAAAUGAGCUGAGUACGAGCAUUCAUUUCUUCCUGCUUCCUGACUGCGGAUGCGCUGUGACCAGCUGCUUCAAGUCAAUGACCACAGCGCUCUCUCUACCCCAGACAGCCUUCCAUGUCAAAAUAAACUCCUUUUCCUUAGGGUGUUUUCAUCAUAGUGAUGGGAAAAAGAAAGAUAACCAAUACAUUGACCUUGUUUGUGGGUGACAGAGGAGACCCUCUGCCAAUUCGAUCUUGGGUUGACACCCUGGAGAGAUUUUCUAAAAGGAUAGUGUGCCCUCCUUUGGCUAACAACACACUGUAGAAACAGUAGGAAUUGAACCUUGGUGGUCAGGCCUGGUGGAAAGGACCCUUUACCCACCGAGUCAUUUUGCUGGCCCAGGGUGUGGAUUUCAGAGGUUAAUAAAUAAGAUCAAGACAGAGUGGCAUCGUUGUGGGUUAGCAAUGAGGCCUCUCUUAAAAAGAACUCCUGGAGGUCUUGCAUGGGCCCCUCUCUUCCCAACAGGCAGACUACUCUGAUUGCUAAAUGAAUUCUUCAGGGUCUAACAUGACAAAAUCUUUAUUGUUUUAAUGAGCGAGUCUUGGGUCUUUUGAUUCCAAUAGCGUCUGCAGAUGUAGGCUGUGGGAGUUUAUGUACUGCCUCAGGAGUGGUACUGUACCAAGCUCUGGCCUGCAGCUUGAUUCUGCUUGAGGGUACAGAUUCCUGUGAUCUUCCUCCAUUCACUUCAGAGAAAAGGCGAGCUGUAAAGCUGUUUUCAGAAAGACUACAGGAUGCUGGGACCACAGACCUAGUACGGUAUCUCUCAAGAUGACAGGAUCCCUAAGAGGUGGGAAUGACUAUGUCAAAGUUGGCUGUGCUUUAUACCUGGUGCACAGGUUUGUUCUCCAACACCAUACACGAUACAUCCUUCCUCUUUAUGGUAGUGCUGCCUCUGGACCCCACUUGACACUUCUUGGUGGUCCACUGAGGUUGAACUUGCUUUGAGACACAUUCUUCUUCUCCCUCCUGAUGUUCAGACUUGACUGGACCAUCAAAAGGCAGUUGCUUUACCCGUUCAUCCUUUCUCCAGACCAUCUUAUGAGAUCUGGCACUUUUCCUCUUGCUUGGCUAAAUGAUGACUGGACAAGGACAUCACAUCCAGUUCAGCAGAGUACAGGACUUUCCACUUGUUCCAGAAAAGAGGUGGGGAAAUAAUCCUACUCUCUUUGUUCUAGGUAAUUUUUAUCUCAAAAAAUUGUGUGUGUGUGUGUGUGUGUGUGUGUGUGUGUGUGUGUGUGUGUGUGCAUGUGGUGUUGGGUAAGGAUCGAGCUGAGUGUGAUGUCUUUGGGACAAGGAGAAGUACAUGACUCCCAUCUAGAAGGUUCAAUAAAGGCAUAAUCUGAGAGGUUAUUUCAUGCCAGACUCUUGAGAAAGAUGACAGAGAGCCAAGCACGUAGCACACCACAGUAGCACACAGCAGGGAGCAUUCCCUGCCUUGACUAGCAGAAGAAAAAUGAGAUGUUGUUGCACAAGGUCCUUUUGGAGUGAGAGUUAGAACACUGGGGAGUACGGUUUGCACUCCCCAGGAAGCAGCCAGGAAAGACUCAGCCUUAGAAUUCGAGUGUGGUUCUCGGAGACAAUGUUAAGCACCGGGCCACUUACUUGCUUAUAUCCCAGCUGUGGGAUUGCCAGUGACCACCCAUUUUACAUGACUAGAUGGCGGUUGCCAUAAGAAGCUAACAAAUCCUGAUGCAAGGGGCAGCUAGCAUGCCACUCCAGUGUCUCCCUCCCUCCUUGUGGGUUAUCUUCCAUCCCAGAAUAAAUCCUGAAAAUUUCAGUCUCCCAAUCUCAGCUGAAGCAUCGCCGUGAUAUGCUUCUCUACAAUCAGCUAAGAUCUAAUAACAACGACUAUAAAAUAUCAAGUAUCCAUAAACUGCUUGCUACAAAAACCAUGAGGAACUUUGGAGAGAUGGCUUAGUGGUUAGGAGCCCUGGCUACUCUUGUUAGAGGACUGAGGUUCAAUUCUCAGCACCCACAUGAUGGCUCACACCAUCUGUAACUAGUUUCAGAGAAAUCGAAUGCCCUCUUCUGGAUGCUCUUGGUACCAGGUGUGUGAGUGGUACACAGGCAUACAGGUAGGCAAAAGACCCUACACAUAAACAAAAUAAAAUAAAAUAAUAAGAAACUAAGGAAUCAAGAAUGGGCAGGGUGAACGUGGGGAACAUGGGUAAUAAAAACAUUGAAUCUUGAUAGAAAUUCUGAAGUAACUUAAACAACAGAACCUGUGUUGAGCUGGAUUCUGAGUGAAGAUUGAUGGCUAGAGACAGGGGCAUUACUUGUGUCCCAGGUAGACAGAAAUUCAUGAAUCUGAAGCCUCCAGAUGUAAGAAGUAAACAGAGGGCUGGCUCUGGAAAGAGUCACGUUCUCCAUGACUUACUUGUGUGUGGGCCUUGGUGAUACAGGAUUGUUAGGAGAACAGCUCUUAGAAUGAUCGUAGAAUCAUUCACCUGAAGUUGACUACGCCAGUCCACUCACAGUGCGAGAAUGGCUGAUUGCAAGGCUGUGGGAAACUCUAAUUAUUAGGAGGCAAAUUGAUUUACUGUCCUCACAAAUGUGUCUCCUCCUUGUAACUUCUCAGGAUGAGAAAUGACUCUUUGAGAGGAAAAAAAAUAGAGCUUUCCUCAGCAUGCAAAGGGUGAACCAGGAGCGGAUUAGUGAAGGGCAACUACAUCAGAGAGAGCCCGGAGCCAAGGGCAGUCACGUUACCCAACACUGCCACCAGAGCGCUCGCUCUGGUUCUAAUGAUUUAUUCAGCAUUUGAAACAUCCAGCUCUCUUCAAAUAUUUAUAACACUUCCUGGUUGCUUUGAGGCUUUUAAUAGGGCAGAAUAAAUCUGUAAGUAUUGAAAAAUUGUCAGCAAAUGGGCCAUAGUGUGAAUAACCGAAACGCAAGCUGUAAGGCUGUAGCCAUUUGCUUUAUUUUGGCCAGAGAAAAAUGUUGCAAUAAUCUUUUCCCAGCAUCACUGCUUUGGAUGAGUUUGCCUCUGAGUUUCAUUAAUCAGGGGCUCUUUAAUUACGUGAUAAAACUCCAUUGACAGGAUGAUGCUCUGUCCACUCAGCAAAAUGUUAAGAGAGCUGAUAUUUGUCUUUCUCUGUGUGCUGUUCUCACUCAGCCCAAGGCCUUGAUGGUGCCCUAAAGUCAAGGAGGGUUUCCCCUCAUCAGUCCGACCUCUUUGGAAAGAUCCUUGCAGGUGUAUGUCUCCUAAGUCUACUUAAGUUGAUGAAGAUUGGAGAUUGUCCCUCCACUGUGUGUGCCCCUCUGUCUCUAAUUCAUGUGCUUCGCAGGAUGACUGACCAUGUGACCGUCUUCGGGUCAGUCGGAAUGCAGAAUGCCCAUAGUUACUGUUCUGUUUCUUCUAACAUUCACCUUUCUAUAACUUUCCCACAUGGCUAAGGCACUACUACUCAGCUUGGGGGAAAAUAUAAUCUCCUUCAAUCUUACCCCCAUCUUGUCUUUAAGUCAUUGACUUAGUUAUGUCUCUUUUCCCACCCCUACAGAACUUGAUGAAAGAGAUACCUUGUCUUAACUGUGGAUCUAUUUGCAUCCCUUUCUUUCUGUGUUUGUGGGUC